rnacentral:rRNA from 1 species
UACGAAGGGGGCUAGCGUUGCUCGGAAUCACUGGGCGUAAAGCGCACGUAGGCGGACUUUUAAGUCAGGGGUGAAAUCCUGGAGCUCAACUCCAGAACUGCCUUUGAUACUGGAAGUCUUGAGUCCGGAAGAGGUAAGUGGAACUGCGAGUGUAGAGGUGAAAUUCGUAGAUAUUCGCAAGAACACCAGUGGCGAAGGCGGCUUACUGGCCCGGUACUGACGCUGAGGUGCGAAAGCGUGGGGAGCAAACAGG